GUCGUGAGAUGUUGGGCUAAGUCCCGCAACGAGCGCAACCCUCGUCCCUAGUUACCAGCGGGUUAUGCCGGGAACUCUAGGGAGACUGCCGGUGUCAAACCGGAGGAAGGUGGGGACGACGUCAAGUCAUCAUGGCCCUUACGUCCAGGGCUACACACGUGCUACAAUGGCCGGUACAGAGCGUCGCCAACUCGCGAGAGUGCGCUAAUCGCUAAAAGCCGGUCUAAGUUCGGAUUGGAGUCUGCAACUCGACUCCAUGAAGCCGGAAUCGCUAGUAAUCGCGGAUCAGCUACGCCGCGGUGAAUACGUUCCCGGGCCUUGUACACACCGCCCGUCACGCCAUGGAAGCUGGGGGGACCUGAAGUCGGUGCGCUAACCGCAAGGGGGCAGCCGCCAAAGGUCAAUUCAGUGACUGGGGCGAAGUCGUAACAAGGUAGCCGUAGGGGAACCUGCGGCUGGAUCACCUCCUUUCUGGAAUGCCGAGUAAGGCGGCGCUUCGGCGUCGUGGUGGAAGGUUUCUGGUGUCGCCCGCACUGGGUGCGGCCCUCCCAAUACGUCACUUGCAGCUCUUUGACAACCGAAGGUGGGAUGUUGUGCGGAUGCGAUCGCGACUGGGUUGCAUCCGGGGAAGGAAUCAACACCGAAAGUUUUGUAGACCAGUAAUGAGAUCAAACGCAAUAAGGCACACGGUGGAUGCCUUGGCAUCGAGAGGCGAUGAAGGGCGCGGUAAGCUGCGAUAAGCCUGGGGGAGCUGCACACGAGCUGUGAUCUCAGGAUGC
rnacentral:sRNA from 1 species